GGACCCGCACAAGCAGCGGAGCAUGUGGUUUAAUUCGAAGAUACGCGAAGAACCUUACCAAGGCUUGACAUCCCCCGCGAUCGGUAGAGAUACCGAGUUUUGUAGCAAUACGAACGGGGAGACAGGUGGUGCAUGGUUGUCGUCAGCUCGUGUCGUGAGAUGUUCGGUUAAGUCCGGCAACGAGCGCAACCCUUAUGAUAUGUUGCUACUAUUAGGUUAAGCACUCAUAUCAGACUGCCGCGGACAACGCGGAGGAAGGCGGGGAUGACGUCAAAUCAUCAUGCCCCUUACGUCUUGGGCUACACACGUGCUACAAUGGGCGUUACAAAGAGCAGCGAGCCGGCAACGGCAAGCGAAUCUCAAAAAAGCGCUCUCAGUUCAGAUUGUGGGGCUGCAACCCGCCCCACAUGAAGCCGGAGUUGCUAGUAAUCCCGAAUCAGAAUGUCG
rnacentral:rRNA from 1 species